GAGCAAAUAACGCCCCCUGCUAUUUUCAGAAUUUUUGCUUCAGUUGCAGUUGCGAUAUCAAAGGUCGUGCACUUGAAAGUGAAUCUAUUCGGUGUGUAGCAGCAGCUCAAAGGUGAUGGAAAAAGCAGUUCAACAUCAACACACCGUUGGUUUCUAUUCAGAUAAGUCAAGUCUUGUAAUUCCCUUCGUUUCAUAUUUUAUGUCUUGCCUAUUCUUCGGCAAAAAAGAACUUGAUUGUUGUAGUUCAGAGUUUUUCAAAGGACGAGCUAGAUUACACGUAGAUCGAUUUCGUUUGAAAUGGAAUAGUGUUUGGUUCACUGUCUCGGACUAUAUUUAGGGGUUACGUAAAAGGGAAAAGAAAAAGGCCGAUUGCAAAGUGAGACGGUGUAGUGUUCUUUUAUAGUCUACAUCGAACAGUGUCUAAACGAAGAAUUUAUCGAUUGGGUGGAUGUCGAUCGGUGUCCAGGGAAAUGAGUGAAAGGAAGCCAUCAGCGUGGGCAACCCGUCCGCUAAAGUAAUAUAAGUAGCCAGCCCAUUUCUUUUUUUUUUUCUUUUAUUCCUGUGUUGUGCAUCUUCCUUUUCGUUGCUUUAUAGACUCUACUUGUGUCCUGGUUCUGUUUUUGUCUGUUUGUGUGGAUGAUAUCCAGCCGUUUCCCGGAUGGUUGUUAGGGAGGGGUAUAUGUAUCUCUUGUUUAAAUAAAAAAAAAAACAGUGGGCGGCUGAGAGCCAUUCCUUGUCUGGGCCAGUAGGGCCAGCAGAUAACCAGCGUUAUAGGCUACUGACUGCUCUAGUCUAUGUCGAAAAUAAAAGAGACUAUAAAAAACAAAACAAAAAAAGGAGGGAGUUAGAUAUAUACUAUAUAUAUAUCUAUCUAUACAUCAUCUCGAAGGAACGGGCCACCGACUCUUUGCUUCGCCUUUGGGGACCAAUCCUUUUUGUCUGAUCUAUGGCUGUAGACUUUCUGUCUCUAUGGCUGCGUUCAAUAUGCUCGUUUCUGCUGACGUUGCUCCCGUUUUUCUUAUUUUUGAUCGAGUUGUUAAUCAUUUGAUUUGGGUCUUUAUCGUCUUUCGGAUAUGAGAGGUAUAGAGGCGAUAUCUCGUUUUCUAAUGACAGUUUUAGUCGAUGCUGUUUUUCAAGAAGUAGCCAAAGUCACGAAACGAGAAUAAAUGCCGGCGGCAAAUGAGCGAACGCGAAGAACGUCAUCAGGGGGAGGAUAGAAAAUAUUAACGUCCUAUUAAGGACGAAUGGAGAAACGAUAGGCAUCAACAAAAGAGAAUGCGACGAUGACACAGUAUCAUAUUUUCUCAAUUAAUUAGCGAGAGCUUAGCGGCUUUUAACGGAGACGGGUGGGUAACGAGAACGAGCAUGAGCGACGACGAUGAUAAUAAUUACCUACAGACAAAAUGGACGUCGCUUCGGAAACAGUAUAUAGAACAUAUAGAAAGCGAUGGGCAAGGAUUGUGGUGCACAUCACGCAGGAGGUUGACUGCGUCCUAUACCUAACGGCGGGGCUUUCAUUGUUCUUGCCGUCUGUUGACAGAUGGCCUUUUACACGCACGCACGGACAUUAGCCCUGUCAUAAUAAACGAGACGAGUGGGUCGCAGGUCGCCGUUUGUGUGUGUGUGUGUGUGUUCGGUUUUUUGAUGAAAGCCAGUUGCAUAGAAAAGGAAGACAUGAGGAAUUGGGCAAUCGUGCGACAGGAACAGGCCACUUUGAAUUGCUGGAGGCUGCCUCUUUUGGUUAUUGAUUCAUUCAACCUCGUCCUAUGACGUAACUCACAGAUCCUCUUUAUUCGGUGCGUAUGGUGUACGUCCCUGAUCGACAGUCGAAUGUUAUUUCAUUCGGCCGAGUAGAAAACAACAAGAUAAUCGGCUUAUUCGCAUAUCUACAAGAAUUUCCUUUUUCUUAUUCCGGAAUCCUAGCGGGGGAGGAGGAGGAAAACGUCAAAAAAAAUCCCAUUCGCUGACUAAGAAUAUUUUUUUGAUGUUGAAAUAAUUAAUAUUUGCAUUGAUCAUUUCGUUCCGCUUCCUGGGUCUAUUCUCCGAGUGCCUUGUACUUUACACCUUUAACCCGUACGUAUGUCUUAUUACGAUGACACGCACAGCAAUAGACGAUGACUUUGUAUACUG